AAUGAACCCAUCUUAUCAUGAAUUUGAGACAUCUUUAUAAAGUUUGGAGGUUGGCAUUAAAUUAGGAAAAAAAUGUUUCUCUCUUCUUACUGAAGAGCUGAAUCUGACUUAAGAUAUCUGACUUAAAAGCAACAGCAUACCUUAGCAUUUUACUGGGUUUUAUAAGAAAUGAUGUUAAUAAUCUGACUAACUAAUGUAAAGAUAGUUAUUUCCCUGGAAACAUACAACACAGCAAACUGCACCUGAAGCAACCUUCACAGAAAGCUAUAUUCCCAUUGCCAAUUGUUUUUAUCUUCCUCUUUUUCUUUUUCCUUUAUUUUUUCCUUUGUUUUUUUUUCUUUAUUUUUUUUUCUUUUUUCCCUGUGUGGAAAUAGCACUUUUCUUCCUAACAUAGAAUACUUAUUGUAGGUUUAAUAACUGGCCAUUUGAGAGCAGCUCCUUAUCUAGUAAUGAAUCCUCUGGAGAAAGCCACCUGAUUUGCAAUUGCAGUUGCUCAAGAUGCAUAUCCUCAUUCAAGGUUGUAAGGGAAAAUGAGCCUUGUGAAACUGCUGGAUAUGGGUAAAUCAGCCUGCUCUAACUUCAAAAUGUCUGCUUGGGUACUAGAAACCCUGAACCUCAGCUGAAACAGGAAUGGGGCCAGCUUCCUUGUCCCUCCAAAAUGUAUUGUCUUCAUACCUUAUCUCUUUGGAUGUUUUUUUUGUUUUGUUUUGUUUUGUUUUGUUUUGUUUUGUUUUGUUUUGUUUUGUAGGAACUGCUGGGAUCUGCCACACUGGAAGAUCUGAAAGAGCACAACCUAGCCCAGGUUGGAUUAUCCAUUGAUCUGUCAUGGCUUUUACCUGUUGAAGAACGGGUCUUCUACUGGUGCACAAAGAGCUGGAGCUGUGCUUGCCUCUCCUCUCCAGGCAAAUCAACAAGGAAAGAGGUAAGCAAUCAGCUCCCAUCCAGCAGAUUCAUGCUUAGGACAUGUGAAAGUGACUCAUGAGAGUUCCUCCAGUGCUGGGGAACAGGUUAAAAUGCGGUAGGGCAGGAGACAGCCCAGCUCUGCCACUUAUGCUCAGAUGUGCAAAAUUAUUUCCCAGUGAAACUGGAGGGACUUUAAGUGCAUAAUUGUGCAUCAGGCCUUUGCUUUUCCACCUGCACAACUCCGUAUUUAUAUAAAGCGGGGAUAAUAUUUCUCUAUAUAAUAAAGGGUUUACAAGAUCAAAGUGCA
rnacentral:lncRNA from 1 species